UCUCCAUCAUCAGACUGAAAUGGCACUUAUAACUCAUAUAUAUGCAAAGUUCUCAUCAAUAGAAACGAAUUAAGUUCAAACAGCAGGUAAUUGCUAUAAGUCGUUGAAGAGUACCCUCGACUAUCUUUCGUCUCCAUCAUCAGACUGAAAUGGCACUUAUAACUCAUAUAUAUGCAAAGUUCUCAUCAAUAGAAACGAAUUAAGUUCAAACAGCAGGUAAUUGCUAUAAAUCGUUAAAGAGUUCCCUCGACUAACUUUUGUCUCCAUCAUCAGACUGUAAUGGCACUUAUAACUCAUACAGGUGCAAAGUUCUCAUCAAUAAAAAUGAAUUAAGUUCAAACAGCAGGUAAUUGCUAUAAUUUGUUAAAGAGUUCCCUCGACUAUCUUUCUUCUCCAUCAUCAGAUCGACUCCAGACCUUUAUUAAAUAGUAGUGCUUUAUAGUACUUAAUGAAAACAUGAUGAAAUUUACUAGUCACCCUUACGAUUUUUGAAAGUUUCCCUCGAUUUCUCUGGGAUCCCAUCAUCAGAUCCUGGUUUCCUUAUCAUGGUACUAAACUAUGAAUAUCUCCU
rnacentral:misc_RNA from 1 species